GAAAGAAGCGUACCAAUGAAUGUAACUUGCGAUCCUGGAGUUGGAUAGCUUUGGAAUUGAAGUUCAAUCACAAGUUGCACUUGAUUGAGAAAUCCUCGAAACUUGCAUUUGGUGCCAUCAAACUUCUCGAGUACGACAAUUCUUGAUUCUCUAACACUGAAAGGGCGUUCGACCAUAGGAGAAAGGACAUGGUUUGGUGCAGAUGUUGAAGUAGCUCCAACCAUUUC
rnacentral:lncRNA from 1 species